CUCCCGCCGGCGACCGGCGCACGGGUGAGUAACACGUAUGAAACCUGCCCGUAGCAGGGGGAUAAGCGGAAGAAAUUCCGUCUAAUACCGCGUAACAACCCAUGGAGGCAUCUCUGUGGGUUUAAAGGAAGCGAUUCCGGCUACGGAUGGUCAUGCGUCGCAUUAGCUUGUUGGCGGGGUAACGGCCCACCAAGGCGACGAUGCGUAGGGGUUCCGAGAGGAAGGUCCCCCACACUGGUACUGAGACACGGACCAGACUCCUACGGAAGGCAGCAG
rnacentral:rRNA from 1 species